GAUGAACGCUGGCGGCGUGCCUAACACAUGCAAGUCGAACGGAGUUCUAACGCUGCAGAGGUUUCGGCCAAAGCUUGUUAUAACUUAGUGGCGGACGGGUGAGUAACGCGUGGGCAACCUGCCUCAUACUGGGGGAUAGCAGUUGGAAACGACUGAUAAUACCGCAUAAGCGCACGGUAUCGCAUGAUACAGUGUGAAAAACUCCGGUGGUAUGAGAUGGGCCCGCGUCAGAUUAGCUAGUUGGUAAGGUAACGGCUUACCAAGGCGACGAUCUGUAGCCGGACUGAGAGGUCGGACGGCCACAUUGGGACUGAGACACGGCCCAAACUCCUACGGGAGGCAGCAGUGGGGGAUAUUGCACAAUGGAGGAAACUCUGAUGCAGCGACGCCGCGUGAGUGAAGAAGUAUUUCGGUAUGUAAGCUCUAUCAGCAGGGAAGAAAGGCUCGCAAGAGAGAUGACGGUACCUGACUAAGAAGCCCCGGCUAACUACGUGCCAGCAGCCGCGGUAAUACGUAGGGGGCAAGCGUUAUCCGGAUUUACUGGGUGUAAAGGGAGCGCAGACGGUCAUGCAAGUCUGAAGUGAAACCCCACGGCUCAACCGUGGGCUUGCUUUGGAAACUGUUUGACUAGAGUACUGGAGAGGUAAGCGGAAUUCCUAGUGUAGCGGUGAAAUGCGUAGAUAUUAGGAGGAACAUCGGUGGCGAAGGCGGCUUACUGGACAGCAACUGACGUUGAGGCUCGAAGGCGUGGGGAGCAAACA
rnacentral:rRNA from 1 species